UUGGUGGCCUAGAAUUCACAAAUUUCGGAUUUCUAGGCCACCACCUUCAAAUUGGCAUAACUUGGCGGAGAAUUGAGUUUUU
ensembl:ncRNA C54E4.7 ncRNA